AACGCACAUUGCGCCUCUCGGUAUUCCGGGAGGCACGCCUGUUCGAGCGCCAUUACACACUCCAAGCAACGCUUGAUGUUGGGCGACGCGGCCGUGAGGCCGCCCGCCUGGAACGCGUGGGCGCCCGCCGCCGGACCACGAGCGUAGCAAGAUCUGACCUAGUCAUUUUUUCGCUUUGUGGGCUUCCGACGGGGGGUUUGUCAAACAAAAACUUUUUUUUUUACAAGAGUUUGGCCUCGGAUCAGGCGGGGAUACCCGCUGAACUUAA
rnacentral:misc_RNA from 1 species